UAGGGAAUCUUCGGCAAUGGACGGAAGUCUGACCGAGCAACGCCGCGUGAGUGAAGAAGGUUUUCGGAUCGUAAAGCUCUGUUGUAAGAGAAGAACGAGUGUGAGAGUGGAAAGUUCACACUGUGACGGUAUCUUACCAGAAAGGGACGGCUAACUACGUGCCAGCAGCCGCGGUAAUACGUAGGUCCCGAGCGUUGUCCGGAUUUAUUGGGCGUAAAGCGAGCGCAGGCGGUUAGAUAAGUCUGAAGUUAAAGGCUGUGGCUUAACCAUAGUAGGCUUUGGAAACUGUUUAACUUGAGUGCAAGAGGGGAGAGUGGAAUUCCAUGUGUAGCGGUGAAAUGCGUAGAUAUAUGGAGGAACACCGGUGGCGAAAGCGGCUCUCUGGCUUGUAACUGACGCUGAGGCUCGAAAGCGUGGGGAGCAAACAGGAUUAGAUACCCUGGUAGUCCACGCUGUAAACGAUGAGUGCUAGGUGUUAGACCCUUUCCGGGGUUUAGUGCCGUAGCUAACGCAUUAAGCACUCCGCCUGGGGAGUACGACGCGCAAGGUUG
rnacentral:rRNA from 1 species